rnacentral:rRNA from 1 species
GUGAGGAAUAUUGCGCAAUGGAGGCAACUCUGACGCAGCCAUGCCGCGUGCAGGAAGAAGGCGCUACGCGUUGUAAACUGCUUUUAACCGGGAAGAAACCCCAGGACGUGUCCUGGGUUGACGGUACCGGAGGAAUAAGCACCGGCUAACUUCGUGCCAGCAGCCGCGGUAAUACGAAGGGUGCAAGCGUUAUCCGGAUUCAUUGGGUUUAAAGGGUGCGUAGGCGGAGCGUUAAGACAGUGGUGAAAUCCUGCAGCUUAACUGUAGACUUGCCAUUGAUACUGGCGCUCUUGAGUGCGCUUGAAGUGGGCGGAAUGUGCCGUGUAGCGGUGAAAUGCUUAGAUAUGGCACAGAACACCAAUUGCGAAGGCAGCUCACUAAGGCGAUACUGACGCUGAGGCACGAAAGCGUGGGGAUCGAACAGGAUUAGAAACCCUUGUAGUCC